CCUUCCACUAGAGGAGGUUGCUCCACACCCCAUCCAACCUGGAAACGAAAAUCUACUUUACUUUAAUGGAAAGACUGAGAGUAUUUUACAGCUUGCCAUGUAAAUUCAAGGUAACCAGGGAAACCAAGAGCUUGCUAUCCUUAUAUACUUUGCAGAGUGCUUUCUGGAAAUAGUGUUCUCCAAUCUGUCAUGAUCAGUAUUCUUUGAGAACACAAUAAAUGAAAAUAACACAGAUUUACUGGAGGCGCUGGAAAAUUACUAGAUUGAAAAAAAAGCCCUGCUGAAUGCAAGAGAACUGGAAUUUGGAUUAAUGGUGAGGACAGUCCUUAAGCAGAGCUGUGGAAAGCUGGAGGAAUGGCUCCAAGGAUGGAUGGCAAAGCACUCGAGGAGGCCAGAUAAAAUGAUCUCUGCGUUCCAGACAUGUGGCUCAGUUUGGCAUCUAACACUUUCUCAAAGACAAAUAAGUUCUAUAAUAGCCACUUCAAGAGCACAGCAUGCAGAUUAAGACAUGUUUAAACACUGAAUUUAAAUAUGCAAAUCACAGGCUGAACAUAAGCUGCUGUUUCUGCUUUUGUGUGGGCUUGUUUAGCUUAAAAACACACAAUAGGCUGGGAAGAAUUAGGGUACCCAAGGGUAGAGUGAGGCACCGUGUUCCUGCAGGAUGGGGAUCCCUGAAGGGUAUUAGGAUAAGAAUCUCUGAGAGCACAGGCCCUUGAGGAAGGGUCCUACUUCUUUCC